rnacentral:rRNA from 1 species
CAGCAGCCGCGGGAAUACGUAGGUGGCAAGCGUUGUCCGGAAUUAUUGGGCGUAAAGCGCGCGCAGGCGGUUUCUUAAGUCUGAUGUGAAAGCCCCCGGCUUAACCGGGGAGGGUCAUUGGAAACUGGGAGACUUAGAGUGCAGAAGAGGAGAGUGGAAUUCCAUGUGUAGCAGUGAAAUGCGUAGAUAUAUGGAGGAACACCAGUGGCGAAGGCGACUCUCUGGUCUGUAACUGACGCUGAGGCGCGAAAGCGUGGGGAGCAAACAGGAUUAGAGACCCCCGUAGUCCCUGUCUCUUAUA